ensembl:lincRNA 2310081O03Rik RIKEN cDNA 2310081O03 gene
AAGCAUCUCAGCUGCCUGAGAGGGAAAUUGAGGCCUAAACAGCCAAAGUGGCAAGCCUUCUGAUCAUGGUGCCCAGUGCAGCGAUCUCUGUCACCAAACUGACAGCCUCUUUGGUUAAUAUUACAGUUUAGGAGAAGAAGUUCGACAGCUUUUCUCAGGUUGAAAAGAAAACAAAACAGAACAAUUUAGUUUGUCCAGCUGCCGUGCUGAGUUACCUUAAAGGCUCAGGUGGUGACAGCAGCGUGUUCAAUGACCUGGAUUUAUUUAUUGCCUAUUUUUAUUGUUACAACCUGGCCAUUCAGUGUCUGGCUCUCAGGGUGACCUGUGGACAUAAUAAGAAUUCAUCCCAAAGGAAAUAUUCUCAGUCAACCAGCCUGGUUACUCUACAUGGAAAUCAGUUGAGAAGAACUAAAACUCUAUCUUUGCUUUUCAGACUGCACUGGGGUCGUGUCUACUUUGGUAUUUUCCUGUGUGGAAGCCUCAGCGGAGUUCUGUUCCUUCAGGAUUCUACCUCCAUGCCAUGUUGACUCUGAAGGGAAGUUGAAAGCAGUCUGUCAAGAAGUGACUGAUGACUGAUGCACAACACAUGGAAAGAGAAAUGUCGACCCGAUGGGUUGCUCCAGAUUAAUGACCUAGAGGUGGCAAGGGACGUUUACACGGCCUCUGAUGCGCCCUUUGCUGUUGCCAUGCAACAAUAUGUCACCGGCUGAUUCACUCAUCUCACUGAAUAAUGAAGUGUCUCUGCAGUAAAGAAAAACC